rnacentral:rRNA from 1 species
UGCUUUACACAUGCAAGUCGAACGGAGUUAAGGAGCUUGCUCUUUAAUUUAGUGGCGAACGGGUGAGUAAUAUAUCGGAACGUACCCGGCAAUGGGGGAUAACGUAGCGAAAGUUACGCUAAUACCGCAUACGAUCUAAGGAUGAAAGCAGGGGACCGCAAGGCCUUGCGCGUUUGGAGCGGCCGAUGGCAGAUUAGGUAGUUGGUGGGAUAAAAGCUUACCAAGCCGACCAUCUGUAGCUGGUCUGAGAGGACGACCAGCCACACUGGGACUGAGACACGGCCCAGACUCCUACAGGAGGCAGCAGUGGGGAAUUUUGGACAAUGGGCGAAAGCCUGAUCCAGCAAUGCCGCGUGCAGGAUGAAGGCCUUCGGGUUGUAAACUGC